rnacentral:rRNA from 1 species
UACAGAGGGGGCGAGCGUUGUUCGGAAUUACUGGGCGUAAAGGGCGCGUAGGCGGCCUGCUAAGUCAUACGUGAAAUCCCUCGGCUCAACCGAGGAACUGCGUCUGAUACUGGUUGGCUUGAAUUCGGGAGAGGGAUGCGGAAUUCCAGGUGUAGCGGUGAAAUGCGUAGAUAUCUGGAGGAACACCGGUGGCGAAGGCGGCAUCCUGGACCGUAACUGACACUGAAAAACGAAAGCCAGGGGAGCAAACGGG